rnacentral:rRNA from 1 species
GCGAACGGGUGAGUAACACGUGGGCAAUCUGCCCUUCACUCUGGGACAAGCCCUGGAAACGGGGUCUAAUACCGGAUAAUACUUUCCCUCUCAUGGGGGAAGGUUAAAAGCUCCGGCGGUGAAGGAUGAGCCCGCGGCCUAUCAGCUAGUUGGUGGGGUAAUGGCCUACCAAGGCGACGACGGGUAGCCGGCCUGAGAGGGCGACCGGCCACACUGGGACUGAGACACGGCCCAGACUCCUACGGGAGGCAGCAGUGGGGAAUAUUGCACAAUGGGCGAAAGCCUGAUGCAGCGACGCCGCGUGAGGGAUGACGGCCUUCGGGUUGUAAACCUCUUUCAGCAGGGAAGAAGCGAAAGUGACGGUACCUGCAGAAGAAGCGCCGGCUAACUACGUGCCAGCAGCCGCGGUAAUACGAAGGGCGCAAGCGUUGUCCGGAAUUAUUGGGCGUAAAGAGCUCGUAGGCGGCUUGUUGCGUCGGUUGUGAAAGCCCGGGGCUUAACCCCGGGUCUGCAGUCGAUACGGGCAGGCUAGAGUGUGGUAGGGGAGAUCGGAAUUCCUGGUGUAGCGGUGAAAUGCGCAGAUAUCAGGAGGAACACCGGUGGCGAAGGCGGAUCUCUGGGCCAUUACUGACGCUGAUUAGCUAAAGCGUGUGGAGCAAACAGGAUUAGAUACCCUGGUAUUCCA